UUGAUUGUUUUUCCUUUUAUUUUGUUUCUUCUUUCUUCCUGCUGCAUCGCGUGGUAUUGAAAAGAUCUUGGGAGGUGGUGUUCUGGCCAGACAUCCAUCCAACAGUUUCGCAUAUCGAUAGGUUUCUCUCAAUCAAUGUGCUCAGUAGGCAAAAGCUACAGCUUCUCAAGGAAGUAUGAAGAGAUCAGCCCUCCUCAUGUGGAUGACUAAUAACACAAAGCAAGAGGUGGUGAAGAUGGAGAGUGACAUGCUAACAUAUCUCAAGUUGGAGAUGAAAAAUCCUACCAUUAAAACUUUUCUCAGGCGAUUCAAAGGGCUGGUCAAGAGGAAUGCAAAAUAAGUACUUUAUGCCUUUAUGGAUUAGGAUUAUUUGACAACAUGUCAGCCUUGGAGGUUGCAUUUUUUUUUUGGUUCAUUUAUUCAUGGUGACUUUUUACCUUCUAUUACAGUAUCCUCCUUUGCUGUUGGAGUUCUUAGGUAAUUACCUUAUAGAGUUGAGCUUACUAGACUAUGGCUGUGUUUGGUUCUUACCAUCACUAGUUGUUGCUUCAAUUGUUUUUAUUGCAAGAUUGACCAUUAAUCCAAAAUCUCACCCUUGGUUAAGAGCAUGUUACUGCAAAUGUUUAUGGUUUUAGUUACAGGACUUCUUGGCAUAUAUAUUGCUUGUCUUUCUUGGAUGUGCUAAAUUUUGAUGCAUUCUUCUAGAACAAAAUACUUCAACACUACACUAAUUAUAGGCCAUCUAAGCUUAAGGAGUGCAUUCACGCCAUACAUGAUUUGCAAUUGAACAAGAAAGGAUCCUCUUUGGUCGCUAUUAGAGAGAAGUAGAAGCAGCAUGGAGUGGGUUCUUGUUUUCUACCUAGCCAUUAGUUUUAUUUAGUAGCUAGAAGAUUCAGAAUCUUAAGUUCAAUUCAUUAGGCUAACCAGCACUUCUUUUUGUUGAACAGUUUAAGUGUGUAUUUGCAUUGCUUCCUCCUUUAGAGAUCCCUGCAUCCUAUUUUGAAGACCUCAAAGAAUAAUGUUCAUGAGGAGAAUCGUGAUGUAUGACUGCAAGAAUUGAUGCUCCAAGAUUAGAUAGCCUGGAUCUGGGAAAUGGAUGAUUCAUGAUUGUGCAGAACAGACUGAUGCUUAGGGAUUGUAUUGCAACUGCUGUAAGUAGCUAUGGUAUGAAUAUUGAAGCCAAGGAUCAUUUAAAUGAAAGCAAUGGUAAAGCCUUUAUUUCAGUUAGCAUGGAGCACUCUUACAAGCAAUGUAUAGGUAACAGGAAUACUGAUGGACUUCUCUAGAGCCUCCUUGGGCUGAUUAAAUGGUGUUUGGGUUGGACGUUCAAGUCAGCCCUGUUUUUUUGAUUAAGCCCUAUACCAGUUCAUUCAUAUCUUACUAGAUGGAUUAGCU